AGAGUUUGAUCCUGGCUCAGGAUGAACGCUGGCGGUAUGCCUAACACAUGCAAGUCGUACGAGGGUUUUUAACUCUAGUGGCGGACGGGUGAGUAACACGUGAGAAUUUGCCUUUAGGAGGGGGAUAACAAUCGGAAACGAAUGCUAAUACCCCAUAUGCUUUUGAGUGAAAUGGAUUUAUCCGCCUAAAGAGAAGCUCGCGGCUGAUUAGCUUGUUGGUAAGGUAAGAGCUUACCAAGGCGACGAUCAGUAUCUGGUUUGAGAGGACGAUCAGACACACUGGAACUGAGACACGGUCCAGACUCCUACGGGAGGCAGCAGUGGGGAAUUUUCCGCAAUGGGCGAAAGCCUGACGGAGCAAUACCGCGUGAGGGAAGACUGCCUAUGGGUUGUAAACCUCUUUUUUCAGGGAGGAAUAAAAUGACGUGUACCUGAAGAAUAAGCAUCGGCUAACUCCGUGCCAGCAGCCGCGGUAAGACGGAGGAUGCAAGUGUUAUCCGGAAUCACUGGGCGUAAAGCGUCUGUAGGUGGUUUAAUAAGUCAACUGUUAAAUCUUGAGGCUCAACUUCAAAAUCGCAGUCGAAACUAUUAGACUAGAGUAUAGUAGAGGUAAAGGGAAUUUCCAGUGGAGCGGUGAAAUGCGUAGAUAUUGGAAAGAACACCGAUGGCGAAAGCACUUUACUGGGCUAUUACUAACACUCAGAGACGAAAGCUAGGGUAGCAAAUGGGAUUAGAUACCCCAGUAGUCCUAG
rnacentral:rRNA from 1 species